AGAGUUUGAUCCUGGCUCAGGACGAACGCUGGCGGCGUGCCUAACACAUGCAAGUCGAACGGAGACAGUAGCAAUAUUGUCUUAGUGGCGGACGGGUGAGUAACGCGUGAGCAAUCUGCCCUUCGGAGGGGGACAACAGCUGGAAACGGCUGCUAAUACCGCAUGAUGUAUCUGGGAGGCAUCUUCUGGAUACCAAAGAU
rnacentral:rRNA from 1 species